rnacentral:rRNA from 1 species
AUACGGAGGGUGCGAGCGUUAAUCGGAAUUACUGGGCGUAAAGCGUGCGUAGGCGGUUUGCUAAGUCAGAUGUGAAAGCCCCGGGCUUAACCUGGGAACUGCAUUUGAUACUGGCAGACUAGAGUAUGCUAGAGGGGGGUAGAAUUCCUGGUGUAGCGGUGAAGUGCGUAGAUAUCAGGAGGAAUACCAGUGGCGAAGGCGGCCCCCUGGAUCAAUACUGACGCUGAGGUACGAAAGCGUGGGGAGCGAACAGGAUUAGAAACCCUAGUAGUCC